rnacentral:rRNA from 1 species
CAUCUAAGCGUGAAGCCCCCCUCAAGAUUAGAUUUCCCAGAGCUUUAAGCUCCUGAAGGGCCGUUGAAGACUACGACGUUGAUAGGUUGGGUGUGGAAGUGUGGUAACACAUGAAGCUAACCAAUACUAAUUGCCCGUGAGGCUUGACCAUAUAACCCCAAGG